AGAAAGAAGCAGGUCGCGACGCUGUCUCCACCACCGACCGCGGCACUCACACGGCGGAGCACCCCACACGCCGUCUCUGUUUCCACCUCUAUCAACCUAAACCGAAAUACAACUACCUAAACAAAUCGAAAUCUAAAGCGAUCCGGCAACGGAACAAAAUUGAAUGGCGAACGCAGACGGAAUGAGAUUUGAUUCCGAUUCACAUUACAACAAAUGAAGUAAUCAUUGCGAAGAGAAGAAGAGAUCCUACCGACGAUGGCGAAGGAGGCGGAUUCGUCGGCAACGUCGAAUUCAAACUCAGGUAUCUAGAAACUCUAAUUCUCUGAUCUUCUUCCCUUGUUCGGUUGCGAGUUUCUUCUGUUGUAUGACUCGGCUUUGUGUUGUGGUUCGAACUGCAGAAUAGUUAUGGAGUUGUUGUGAGACUUUGAAGUUCGAUUUGUAGAGUUUUGUAGAUGGUAAUCUAUUGAGAGUUGAAGUUGCAAUUUGUUGCUCGAAUCGUUGUGCAUGAGUUGUUGGAGAUGGCGAGGAUAUGGAGUUGAGAGUUUUAUUUGCAGUGUGAGUUUUAUUUCAGGAAGAUGAAGAUGGUGAGAGUUGUGUUAUGCAGGUUUCGUGAUUCUGGAAAAAGGGGAAAGAAGAAGAACUUCAAGGCUAAUUCAGGUAUUUAUAUAGCUAUUGUGUAUUGGAUGUGAGAGUAAUUGAAUUGGACUUGGAUGUGCGUUUCAAUUGUGUUACGUUAUGUGUUUUCACCUUGUUUCAGUGCCGUUUUUUUUUUGCUGCUGCGCUUGAAUUUGUUAUGUAUUUGUUUGCUCCUGCGUUUCCUGCAUUUCAUCACUUACUGCGCUUGUACUCUCUUCCAAUUGCAUUUCAUUUUUUUUGUCUUAUUUGGAUGGCAUGAACUUGGGUUAUUGGAUAUGCAAUUUUGGAUCAUGGGAUUAACAUGUUGGGCUUAAGGAAUGUUAAUGCUGAAUUUUUAUUAUGAAAAAAAAUAAAUGGGCCAACUCUUUAGACUUAAGAAAUUGUGAUCUUUAUACUGAGUUUUAUCAUAGUAAAAAUGAUUGAAUGGGCCAACUAAUCAAUCAACACUACCAUGGCCCAUUGGUAAGAAAUGAUGUUAAAUUUCUAAAAUUGAAUUGAAACUUCUAAAAUCGGCAAAUUUACCGAGAUAACCCACUUUUUCGAAGAAAUUUCCAAAAUAACCCAUUUUUCAGGAAAAUUCCCAAUCUACCCC
rnacentral:lncRNA from 1 species